AUGGGGAAACCAAUGGAUGACAGUAUCAGAAAGGUGUGCAGGGUACUUCCUGGGCCAUUGCCAGGUCAUUUGCUGCUGGAGAGUCAUCUUUUACCACUAGCAAAAGAAACGGAAUUCACAUCAGAGGAUGGACCUGGGUCUUCUUAUGGAAUGUUUCUAAAAAUCGACUGCUUCCGGAUCAUGAGAAAAUAACCAGCGAGAGUAUAACAGAAAACUUCCAGGUGGCAAACUGUUGUAAGAAGGCAGGCCCUAGUAAACCUUUUGAUCACAGAGGGGGCGCUUUUGUUGAU